UAGGGAAUAUUGCACAAUGGGCGAAAGCCUGAUGCAGCAACGCCGCGUGCGCGAUGAAGGCCUUCGGGUCGUAAAGCGCUUUUCGGGGAGAUGAGGAAGGACAGUAUCCCCGGAAUAAGGCUCGGCUAACUACGUGCCAGCAGCCGCGGUAACACGUAGGAGCCAAGCGUUAUCCGAAUUCACUGGGCGUAAAGCGCGUGCAGGCGGCUCGAUAAGUUGGAUGUGAAAGCUCCCGGCUCAACUGGGGGAGGACGUUCAAUACUGUCGGGCUAGAGGACGGCAGAGGAAGGUGGAAUUCCCGGUGUAGUGGUGAAAUGCGUAGAUAUCGGGAGGAACACCAGUGGCGAAGGCGGCCUUCUGGGCCGAACCUGACGCUCAGACGCGAAAGCUAGGGGAGCGAACG
rnacentral:rRNA from 1 species